AUUCCAGCUCCAAUAGCGUAUAUUAAUGUUGUUGCAGUUAAAAAGCUCGUAGUUGGAUUUCUGGAUUGAGCGGCUGGCCUUGCGCGCAAGCGUUCGUGUCGGCUUCGUUUCGGUCCAUCCUCAGGGGGACUUGCGCUGGCAUUAACGUGUCGGUGUUGGGACGCCUGUCGUUUACUGUGAACAAAUUAGAGUGUUCAAAGCAAGGUGUACUUGAAUACAUUAGCAUGGAAUAAUAAGAUAGGACUUUGGUGGUUCUUUUUGAUAUUUUGUUGGUUUGCACGCCAAAGUAAUGAUUAAUAGGAGCAGUUGGGGGUAUUCGUAUUCAAUUGUCAGAGGUGAAAUUCUUGGAUUUAUAGAAGACGAACUACUGCGAAAGCAUUUACCAAGGAUGUUUUCAUUA
rnacentral:rRNA from 1 species